rnacentral:rRNA from 1 species
UACGGAGGGGGCUAGCGUUGUUCGGAAUUACUGGGCGUAAAGCGCACGUAGGCGGCUUUGCAAGUUAGAGGUAAAAGCCCGGGGCUCAACUCCGGAAUUGCCUUUAAGACUGCAUCGCUAGAAUUGUGGAGAGGUAAGUGGAAUUCCGAGUGUAGAGGUGAAAUUCGUAGAUAUUCGGAAGAACACCAGUGGCGAAGGCGACUUACUGGACAGAUAUUGACGCUGAGGUGCGAAAGCGUGGGGAGCAAACAGG